rnacentral:rRNA from 1 species
CCCGCCGGCGACCGGCGCACGGGUGAGUAACACGUAUGAAACCUGCCCGUAGCAGGGGGAUAAGCGGAAGAAAUUCCGUCUAAUACCGCGUAACAACGUUGGGAGGCAUCUCCCGAUGUUUAAAGAUUUAUCGGCUGCGGAUGGCCAUGCGGCGCAUUAGCUAGUCGGCGGGGUAACGGCCCACCGAGGCGACGAUGCGUAGGGGUUCUGAGAGGAAGGUCCCCCACACUGGUACUGAGACACGGACCAGACUCCUACGGGAGGCAGCAG